AUACGUAGGGGGCGAGCGUUGUCCGGAAUGAUUGGGCGUAAAGGGCGCGUAGGCGGCCCGGUAAGUCUGGAGUGAAAGUCCUGUUUUUAAGAUGGGAAUUGCUUUGGAUACUGUCGGGCUUGAGUGCAGGAGAGGUAAGUGGAAUUCCCAGUGUAGCGGUGAGAUGCGUAGAGAUUGGGAGGAACACCAGUGGCGAAGGCGACUUACUGGACUGUAACUGACGCUGAGGCGCGAAAGUGUGGGGAGCAAACAGGAUUAAAUACCCUGGUAGUCCACACUGUAAACGAUGAAUGCUAGGUGUAGGGGGUAUCGACCCCUUCUGUGCCGCAGUCAACACAAUAAGCAUUCCGCCUGGGGAGUACGGCCGCAAGGUUGAAACUCAAAUGAAUUGACGGGG
rnacentral:rRNA from 1 species